rnacentral:rRNA from 1 species
GAUGAACGCUGGCGGCGUGCCUAAUACAUGCAAGUCGAGCGAACAGACGAGGAGCUUGCUCCUCUGACGUUAGCGGCGGACGGGUGAGUAACACGUGGAUAACCUACCUAUAAGACUGGGAUAACUUCGGGAAACCGGAGCUAAUACCGGAUAAUAUAUUGAACCGCAUGGUUCAAUAGUGAAAGACGGUUUUGCUGUCACCUAUAGAUGGAUCCGCGCCGCAUUAGCUAGUUGGUAAGGUAACGGCUUACCAAGGCAACGAUGCGUAGCCGACCUGAGAGGGGAAUCGGCAAAAUGGAAACUGAGAAACGGCCCAGAUCCUUACGGAGGCAGCAGUAGGGAAUCUUCCGCAAUGGGCGAAAGCCUGACGGAGCAACGCCGCGUGAGUGAUGAAGGUCUUCGGAUCGUAAAACUCUGUUAUUAGGGAAGAACAAAUGUGUAAGUAACUAUGCACGUCUUGACGGUACCUAAUCAGAAAGCCACGGCUAACUACGUG